AGGGAAUCUUCCGCAAUGGACGAAAGUCUGACGGAGCAACGCCGCGUGAGUGAUGAAGGUUUUCGGAUCGUAAAGCUCUGUUGCCAGGGAAGAACGUCCGUUAGAGUAACUGCUAACGGAGUGACGGUACCUGAGAAGAAAGCCCCGGCUAACUACGUGCCAGCAGCCGCGGUAAUACGUAGGAGGCGAGCGUUGUCCGGAAUUAUUGGGCGUAAAGCGCGCGCAGGCGGCUGUUUAAGUCUGGUGUAUAAUCCUGGGGCUCAACUCCGGGUCGCACUGGAAACUGGAUGGCUUGAGUGCAGAAGAGGAGAGUGGAAUUCCACGUGUAGCGGUGAAAUGCGUAGAGAUGUGGAGGAACACCAGUGGCGAAGGCGACUCUCUGGGCUGUAACUGACGCUGAGGCGCGAAAGCGUGGGGAGCAAAC
rnacentral:rRNA from 1 species